rnacentral:rRNA from 1 species
AACGUAGGAGACAAACGUUAUCCGGAGUUACUGGGCGUAAAGGGCGCGUAGGCGGCCUGCUAAGUCGGACGUGAAAUCCCUCGGCUCAACCGGGGAACUGCGUCCGAUACUGGCGAGGCUUGAAUCCGGGAGAGGGAUGUGGAAUUCCAGGUGUAGCGGUGAAAUGCGUAGAUAUUGCUCGGAAGGCCAGAGCCGAAGGGGCCCUACUGGUGCGCAACUGACACUGAGGCACGAAAGCGUGGGGAGCAAACAGG